AGUGAACGCUGGCGGUAGGCCUAACACAUGCAAGUCGAACGGCAGCACAGUAAGAGCUUGCUCUUACGGGUGGCGAGUGGCGGACGGGUGAGGAAUACAUCGGAAUCUACUUUUUCGUGGGGAUAACGUAGGGAAACUUACGCUAAUACCGCAUACGACCUACGGGUGAAAGCAGGGGAUCUUCGGCCCUUGCGCGAUUGAAUGAGCCGAUGUCGGAUUAGCUAGUUGGCGGGGUAAAGGCCCACCAAGGCGACGAUCCGUAGCUGGUCUGAGAGGAUGAUCAGCCACACUGGAACGGAGACACGGUCCAGACUCCUACGGGAGGCAGCAGUGGGGAAUAUUGGACAAUGGGCGCAAGCCUGAUCCAGCCAUACCGCGUGGGUGAAGAAGGCCUUCGGGUUGUAAAGCCCUUUUGUUGGGAAAGAAAAGCAGCAGGUUAAUACCCCGCUGUUCUGACGGUACCCAAAGAAUAAGCACCGGCUAACUUCGUG
rnacentral:rRNA from 1 species